rnacentral:rRNA from 1 species
GGCGAGUGAAGCGGCAAAAGYUCAAAUUUGAAAUCUGGUACCUUCGGUGCCCGANUUGUAAUUUGUAGAAGGUAACUUUGGGGCUGGUCCUYGUCUAUGUUCCUUGGAACAGGACGUCAUAGAGGGUGAGAAUCCCGUGUGGCGAGGAUCCCAGUUCUUUGUAAAGUGCUUUYGAAGAGUCGAGUUGUUUGGGAAUGCAGCUCUAAGUGGGUGGUAAAUUCCAUCUAAAGCUAAAUAUUGGCGAGAGACCGAUAGCGAACAAGUACAGUGAUGGAAAGAUGAAAAGAACUUUGAAAAGAGAGUGAAAAAGUACGUGAAAUUGUUGAAAGGGAAGGGCAUUUGAUCAGACAUGGUGUUUUGCGCCCUCUGCUCCUUGUGGGUGGGGGAAUCUCGCAGCUCACUGGGCCAGCAUCAGUUUUGGCGGCAGGAUAAAUCUGCAGGAAUGUAGCUUGCCUCGGUAAGUGUUAUAUCCUGUAGAAAUACUGCCAGCUGGGACUGAGGACUGCGACUU